CACAGAGGAAGUGCUUUACUACAUCACUGAACCCUAGAGUAAGCCUCAACGUAUUUUAUAACAUGGAGCAGCCAUUUUGGUUGUUAUUUUUUGGCUAACCCAACAGCAAAAUUUCAUGACCUUUUUCUUCUCCUCUUGCAUCCCUAGGGUGGUCUUCAUUCUGUACUAUACCACACGUUUCUCUUUGUUUUGCAUCUUGAUCUGGACCCAAGUCUUUAAGCAGGGAAUAUAAGCCAAAGACUUGAGAUUUUUCUCAGGUCUUGAUCCUCAGAGAAUCAGCUUGGUGUUCUCUGUUGAAAUGCUCCUUUGGUGAGGUACAGGAUGCUUUAAGAUGCUUGGCUACUUCUGGAAAUGCAGUACAUUUUCUUUGGAUUUAUUUUGUCUUUAUGGUUAGUAGUGUUUAAAGGCAUGCGAGUGAUUAAAGUGGUAUCCUGGAAAUUGGGAAA